rfam:Colinus virginianus strain Texas jcf7180006226946, whole genome shotgun sequence.
AUGGUUGUGGCUGAGUGCUUACAGUGAUGGACUAGAAAUCCACCGGGGUCCUGUGCAGGUUUGAAUCCUGCUGGCUGUG